AUAGCUUAUUUUAGUCUGUAUAUAGAUAUAGUUUCAGCAGGCAUAGCCUAUUUCAAGUGUAAUAUAAAAUCGUUUUUAACACAACUACAUAUGGUAAACAAAACCCACUUCCUUCGUGAUAUUUCUAAUAAAACUUUUCCCGCGCGCUUGCACACAUCCACUGUGAACACAUUCAUUCAUAAAUAUGUAUUGAUUUUGAAAAUUACCGCUUUCACCUUGCAUUGAAUGGACUAGUCUUUAAAUGAAACUAAUCAAUAAUUUGGCGAAAUAGUCAGAUAUCACUAUUUUACAUGCUGACCGAAUUUUGGUCUGGUUUCCAAAGUUUCUGAUUAAUGCGACACGUGUACCUUUAACUUAAUGUUAUUUACAUGUACGAAAGAUGGCAUUAAACGUCGAAAACUUUGUACAAUGCAGACAGCGUUAUUCACAGAAUGUCCUCAUAGGAAAUAUGUCAUGAGGAUUUUUCAAUUUACGGACAUCAAGCAGCGUCAGAUAUACCUGUAGAUAACUAUGGAGGAAUCUCAUAACAUUUCAUAAAGUGGGUUGUGUUUAUACAGGCAAUCACUGAUAAAAUUGUGAAUGGGCCAAGUUAUCGUGUAAAAAUACAGAUAAAACCUGUUAAGGAUAUAGUAUCAGACGCUCAAAAUUUUACAAACAAGUAUACGUUCAUACAGAUAUGUGUCAAUUUCAUCUGUGUUGAUUCAUUCAGUUACAGGAACUAAGAAAUAUCACGAAAUGACGAUGUCCAUCCUAGCUAGUGCGCUUUUCAUUGCCCUAUGUGUCGGAAUUACUGAGGCAGAAACUUAUAGUGGUUUUCCUGAGAAAGACAUGGAAGACACCCGACUGAUAAAGUGUAGGACGAUGUGUGGAGAUCGGUAUUAUCAAUGUCUGCUGGGGGACUGUAGAAACAAUGCUGAUUGUGAACAGCGGUGCACGUUAUCCUUCCGCGGUUGUUACAGAGAUUGUGAUAAGUUUACCACCACUACAACCACUGCUGGUACAACGCAUUAUGAAAAUGACGUAUUUAAAGAUGAUGAUAUCUGAACAAGCGUGUGAUAUACUCUGAUUUGUGACAGUGAUUGUUGUAAACAUUUUUUUACAAGGAUGAACUAUGUUGUACAAAAGCUUUGCAGAAAAAUGCAAUUCAAGCUCGUUGUGACAUAUUUCAAAAAUCAUAUAUUAAUUAUAUACAGUAAUACACAGCUUUCUGAGAAAGCACACACUGCCGAAAAUGGUCUGAUUAUGCUAUAAUAUGGAAAGAGGUAACACGUAGAAAUACACACCGUUUUGUAAUAUUCAUUUCAUUUGUCCAAACUCUAAAAUGCACAAUCAUGAGAUCAAGCGAUGUUUUAUUUAAAAAUGUAUCAUAUGUAGCUUCAAUGUAUAUUGCAAUUUUACAAAUAUUGAAGGUUUCUUAAAUUCGAUUAGAAAUAACAUUUGUUUUCGUGUAGACAAAAAAUACAACUGAAAGAAAUUUAAAUGUUCUGGAAAUAAACAUGGGUCAUAAAACAAGAUACCAACAAAACUAAAAAGCAAUAAAACAAUUAUCGCAGUUAAAAAAAAUUCAAGUACUGUAUAUCAAUUUUAUUUCACGAGAUUGUAUUUUCGCAAUGAUAUGAUUUAUUCACAAGACAUAACUUUCGCGAAUGAU